GAUGGAGGGGGAUAACUACUGGAAACGGUAGCUAAUACCGCAUAACGUCGCAAGACCAAAGUGGGGGACCUUCGGGCCUCAUGCCAUCAGAUGUGCCCAGAUGGGAUUAGCUAGUAGGUGGGGUAACGGCUCACCUAGGCGACGAUCCCUAGCUGGUCUGAGAGGAUGACCAGCCACACUGGAACUGAGACACGGUCCAGACUCCUACGGGAGGCAGCAGUGGGGAAUAUUGCACAAUGGGCGCAAGCCUGAUGCAGCCAUGCCGCGUGUGUGAAGAAGGCCUUCGGGUUGUAAAGCACUUUCAGCGGGGAGGAAGGCGUUAAGGUUAAUAACCUUGUCGAUUGACGUUACCCGCAGAAGAAGCACCGGCUAACUCCGUGCCAGCAGCCGCGGUAAUACGGAGGGUGCAAGCGUUAAUCGGAAUUACUGGGCGUAAAGCGCACGCAGGCGGUCUGUCAAGUCGGAUGUGAAAUCCCCGGGCUCAACCUGGGAACUGCAUUCGAAACUGGCAGGCUAGAGUCUUGUAGAGGGGGGUAGAAUUCCAUGUGUAGCGGUGAAAUGCGUAGAGAUCUGGAGGAAUACCGGGUGGCGAAAGCGGCCCCCUGGACAAAGACUGACGCUCAGUGCGAAAGCGUGGGGAGCAACAGGAUU
rnacentral:rRNA from 1 species